AUCCAGCUGACGAGUCCCAAAUAGGAUUAAAUGAGCGUCCUGGAU
rnacentral:hammerhead_ribozyme from 1 species